CCUGCUCCUAGAGGCAUUGCAGUUGUGACUGCUGUGUCACGUGUGUGUUGGUAGGCAACAGAGAGCAGAGAGGCUAUGUCUAUGCUCAGUAUUCUGACCUAUGAACAUCUGGAUGAUUAGUAGCUUAAUAGU